rnacentral:tRNA from 1 species
GCCUUCGUGGUGUAGUGGUCAGCACGCUCGGCGCGUAUUCGAGAGGUCCACGGUUCGAGUCCUGGCGAGGGCA